CCAAACUUGGUCAUUUAGAGGAAGUAAAAGUCGUAACAAGGUCUCCGUUGGUGAACCAGCGGAGGGAUCAUUACCGAGUUGUUAAAAACUCCCACACUUGUGAACGUUACUGUCGUUUCUUCGGCGGGCACCCGGGAAGGGGUGCCGCGGCUUUACGGCCCCACCGGGGCCGCGCCCGCCGGAGAUACCCGAAACUCUUCUGAAAUUAUAGGCCUCUCUGAGCAUUAAAAAUGAAUCAAAACUUUCAACAACGGAUCUCUUGGUUCUGGCAUCGAUGAAGAACGCAGC
rnacentral:misc_RNA from 1 species